rnacentral:lncRNA from 1 species
UGUUGUAUUAUGAAUCAUGUAUAUAAAAUAAAAUUGUCGAUGUCUCACAUCCAAGGCCUUUGAUUGGUUGCUUUUUUUUUGUCUUAGUGUUGAUCUUGGACCUCUUCCCUCUCUUCAUUGUCCCAAUGCAAGUCUAGUUUCUUCAUCCCCUUCUUCCUUGUCCUAGCACAUAGGUCUCAAUUCCCUCUUCCUUGUCCUAGCAUAGAUUCCAAUCAUCUCUUCCUUGUCUUGAUGCUGAUUUGAAUCUCCCUUUCAUCUCUUUCUUGUCUACUCACACUUGUACCAAGAUAAAAAAGAGAUAAAAGAGAAAAUUGGAACUUGUGCCAAGACAAGGAAGAAAGAGAUGAAGGAACUAGGACUUACACCAAGUCAAAAAAGAAAGGGACAAAAUUUGAGAUCCAUACCAAGAAAAAGAAAGGCAAUCAAUUUGUGAGGAAAAAUUUCCCCCUCACCCCAAAUUACAAGAUGGCCUCAAUUGAAAGUUGCUUGUAAUUGGUGGUGAGAACUAGAAGUAGCAAUAAACAAGAACAAAAGAAGGACAACAUCAAACAAGUGAAACA